UACGUAGGGUGCGAGCGUUAAUCGGAAUUACUGGGCGUAAAGCGUGCGCAGGCGGUUGUGCAAGACCGAUGUGAAAUCCCCGGGCUUAACCUGGGAACUGCAUUGGUGACUGCACGGCUAGAGUGUGUCAGAGGGGGGUAGAAUUCCACGUGUAGCAGUGAAAUGCGUAGAGAUGUGGAGGAAUACCGAUGGCGAAGGCAGCCCCCGGGGCCUGUACUGACGCUCAUGCACGAAAGCGUGGGGAGCAAACACG
rnacentral:rRNA from 1 species